rnacentral:rRNA from 1 species
AUCAGAUGAGCCUAGGUCGGAUUAGCUAGUUGGUGAGGUAAUGGCUCACCAAGGCGACGAUCCGUAACUGGUCUGAGAGGAUGAUCAGUCACACUGGAACGGAGACACGGUCCAGACUCCUACGGGAGGCAGCAGUGGGGAAUAUUGGACAAUGGGCGAAAGCCUGAUCCAAAAGGGCCGCGUGUGUGAAGAAGGUCUUCGGAUGUAAAGCAAUUGAGUGGGAGGAAGGGCAGUUACCUAAUACGUGAUGUUUGA